rnacentral:lncRNA from 1 species
AGAGGAACCUCAAAGACACAGUGAGGGCUAAGAGUUCCAGGUGGUCCGGUGGUUAGGACUCCAUGCUUUCACUGCCAACGUUGAAGAUUCAGCCCCUGAUCCCAGAAGAUCUUGUAAGGCAUGUAGAAGGGCCUUAAAAAAAAAAAAAAAAAAGAGAGUGGUAGAAUUUAAAUNNNNNNNNNNNNNNNNNNNNNNNNAGAAGAAAUAUUUCCUUCUUGAUGGAAAACCAGGGAAAACUUCAUUUGACCUGGACCUUUAAAUUAACGGCUUAGGCACAUUUCAAAUAAAGGAAUAAGAUACUAUUUAGAAGUGAGAAAGCUGUGGGGAUAUUUGAAGAAUAAAAUACAUGAUCUGACAGUGGGUCAAGGUCGCCUGUUGUUUCUACCCGCUACACCUGGAGGGCAGAUCAGAGGCGGGGGAGCUAGCGCUGAAAAUUCAUACUCCGUUCAAAGUUGUAAGCCAGCAGCUCCUGCUGAGUUGCCAAGGACACUGGCUGCCUUGGAUCUACCAGAUCUCCUGGAAGAGGUGACUUGUUCUAUCUGCUUACACAGUUUGAAGAAACCGCUUGCAGGUGAAUGUGGACACAAGUCUUGUGAUUGCCUCUUACGAAACUGGAAAGGAAUCUAAUUACACCACUUGCUUUAAGUAUAAAGAAACUUUCAGGGUAAGGGACUUCCCUGGAGGUCCAGUGGUUAAGAUGCUGCCCUUUCAUUGUAGAGACACGGAUUUGAUCCCUGGUCAGGGAACUAAGAUCCUGCACACUGCGUGGCAUGUUCAAAACUUUUUUUGAAUAAAAAAAUAAAAUAAAUGUAUAAGAUAAGUGAUCCAAGGUGUAACCGGCAGCUGAGGAUGAUGGCUGAGACAGCAAAAUCCUCACAUGGUGGAUUUAAAGACUAGCAUAUGUGAGAUCUACCAAGAAAAACUGAAGAGGUUCUGUGUGAGAGAUCAGAUGCUCUUUUGUGAGAUCUGUUUUAUGUCUCAGGAACACAAGCCUCAUGGUGCUUACCGCUGAGAAGAUGAAAGAUUUCAAGGUAAAAUUGUCUUUCAAAAUUUCAAGGAGUCAUUCUUAUCAUUCUUUCCUCUUUAAGUACUUUGGGUUUUCAAAAUCAUACAGAUUGAAAUCAUUUUGCUAUCUCUGACCUGUCAAAUAUGGAGAUUUGGGAGCCCCAAAGACCUCAUUUUUGUUUUACAGUAACACUUCUAUUUCAAGCAUGCAUACUUAUUUUUUUUAAAAAUGCAAGUGACAACAGUUGUUAUCAUUGUGGGGAGGAAUGAACAGUGACUAGGUGAGGCUUAGGGUGGCAUCUGAGGAGUUGAUAAUGUUCUAUAAUAAUAUUGUUCUGGGGUAUGAUCAUAUGGAUAUUCAUUUUUUGAUAGAUCACUGAGCUAUAAUUCUUAAGUAUAAUUUUUUAAUAAUUCUUAAGUAUGUGUAUAGCACUUCACAAUAAUAAAAGUUUUUUAAAGAAAAGAAAGACCUCAUUUUGACAAGAAGUAAUUAAUUUUCACUUUAGAAUUCUUUCCUGAGUUUGUGCUAUAACUUCUGUUAUAUAGAUCUAACAGCAACCAACUCUAGUACUCUUGCCUGGAAAAUCCCAUGGACAGAGGAGCCUCAUAGGCUUCAGUUCAUGGGGUCGUGAAGAGUCAGACAUGACAGAGCAACUUCACUUUUACUUUUCACUUUCAUGCAUUGGAGAAGGAAAUGGNNNNNNNNNNNNNNNUCUUGCCUGGAGAAUCCCAGGGAUGGCGGAGCCUGGUGGGCUGACAUCUAUGGGGUCGACAGAGUCGGAAGUGACUUAGCAGAAGCAGCAGCAAGACUUGAGCAACUUUAGUUCAACCAAAAAAGCAUGGUGUAUUGGGUAUCCAAGUUUUCUAUCCCAUUUUUAUCUUUUAUUACUAAUAUGUUUUGGAGAAGGCAAUGGCACCCCACUCCAGU